AUCACAGCAGCAACAACAUUAGCAGAGAGCAGAAGCCAGCAGGCAAGUGUUAUUCAAAUAAACUCCUGCUGUACUUACAAACUUUCAAAUGCAUUGUUUUAUGAGUACGUAACCUAUUUGUACUACUGU